rnacentral:rRNA from 1 species
UAGGGAAUCUUCCGCAAUGGACGCAAGUCUGACGGAGCAACGCCGCGUGAGUGAAGAAGGAUUUCGGUUCGUAAAACUCUGUUGUUAGAGAAGAACAGCGCAUAGAGUAACUGUUAUGCGUGUGACGGUAUCUAACCAGAAAGCCACGGCUAACUACGUGCCAGCAGCCGCGGUAAUACGUAGGUGGCAAGCGUUGUCCGGAUUUAUUGGGCGUAAAGCGAGCGCAGGCGGUCAAUUAAGUCUGAUGUGAAAGCCCCCGGCUCAACCGGGGAGGGUCAUUGGGAACUGGGUGACUUGAGUGCAGAAGAGGAGAGUGGAAUUCCAGGUGUAGCGGUGAAAUGCGUAGAUAUAUGGAGGAACACCAGUGGCGAAGGCGACUCUCUGGUCUGUAACUGACGCUGAGGCUCGAAAGCGUGGGUAGCAAACAGG